rnacentral:tRNA from 1 species
UAUAUAUUAGUGUAUUUUGCACGUAAAUUUUUGAUAUUUAAAGAUUAGUUAAAUUCUAAUAUAUAUAU